rnacentral:rRNA from 1 species
GUGUCAGCAGCCGCGGUAAGACGGAGGGUGCGAGCGUUGUUCGGAAUUACUGGGCGUAAAGCGCGCGCAGGUGGGUGCGUAAGUCGGAGGUGAAAGCGCAGGGCUCAACCCUGCGACGCCCUUCGAGACUGCGUGUCUAGGGACCGGUAGAGGUGAGUGGAAUUCCCGGUGUAGCGGUGGAAUGCGUAGAUAUCGGGAAGAACACCGGAGGCGAAGGCGGCUCACUGGGCCGGAUCCGACACUGAGGCGCGAAAGCGUGGGGAGCAAACAGGAUUAGAAACCCUGGUAGUCC